rnacentral:rRNA from 1 species
CUGAUGCGUUGUUGGGUAGGGGAGCGUUCUGUAAGCCUGCGAAGGUGUGCUGUGAGGCAUGCUGGAGGUAUCAGAAGUGCGAAUGCUGACAUAAGUAACGAUAAAGCGGGUGAAAAGCCCGCUCGCCGGAAGACCAAGGGUUCCUGUCCAACGUUAAUCGGGGCAGGGUGAGUCGACCCCUAAGGCGAGGCCGAAAGGCGUAGUCGAUGGGAAACAGGUUAAUAUUCCUGUACUUGGUGUUACUGCGAAGGGGGGACGGAGAAGGCUAUGUUGGCCGGGCGACGGUUGUCCCGGUUUAAGCGUGUAGGCUGGUUUUCCAGGCAAAUCCGGAAAAUCAAGGCUGAGGCGUGAUGACGAGGCACUACGGUGCUGAAGCAACAAAUGCCCUGCUUCCAGGAAAAGCCUCUAAGCAUCAGGUAACAUCAAAUCGUACCCCAAACCGACACAGGUGGUCAGGUAGAGAAUACCAAGGCGCUUGAGAGAACUCGGGUGAAGGAACUAGGCAAAAUGGUGCCGUAACUUCGGGAGAAGGCACGCUGAUAUGUAGGUGAAGUCCCUCGCGGAUGGAGCUGAAAUCAGUCGAAGAUACCAGCUGGCUGCAACUGUUUAUUAAAAACACAGCACUGUGCAAACACGAAAGUGGACGUAUACGGUGUGACGCCUGCCCGGUGC